rnacentral:sRNA from 1 species
GGAUUAGUUGUUCUAAAUGCCUAUUGCUUUCUGAUCAACUGGAAUUUGAGCCCAGACAUUUCCGCGCCCAAAAGGUGUUCGAUGAAAUGUCUGAACCACUAAUUCCAGAGAUUCGUGACCCUGUACCAAGGUAUUGGUUGCAAGGAGCGUUUUGGCUUUAACUUGUUGAUUCGUAAUGCCUGUUAGGUUAGCUCUCGUCAAUGGUGAUUGAGUCUGGGACUAGGUUAACUUGAGAGUCUCUAUUGCGGUGGCACUUAGAUUUGGUUAAUGAACUUGUUGUCUAGGGUUAAUUUAUUGAGCAUGUUAAUCACCUGUAAACUGAGGAAACGAAACUACUCAAUUACCCCAUCCUCGGGAAUUCUUUAUCUGAUUGAUUUUAUUGUUUACUCUAUUGCUGUUUACUGCAUCCUGUCAUUUGUUGCUUAGUUUCUGCAAUUCUUUACUGUUACUCGACCUGAUACUCGACCACCCAGUUGUCUGGCGACAGACUGUGCAGUCGAGUAUACCUGUUACAUUAUCUGUCUGUUACUCAACCUGUCACUCGACCCACCCAGUGCUCUGCAACGAGCUGUGUUAGUCGAGUGUUUCUUUGUUUCUGCUUGAUGUUCUGUUUUCUGCAUGUUCACUUAGGACUGCUAGAACGCACCAAAACCUGUUAUUGCUUGGCUUGACUUAGUGACUUCUGAUCACAUCUUGAUUGUUAGCAUCACACCUAUUUGGAUUGACAACCUUCAGUACUACCACGACAUGAUAGUGCUUUAGGAUUAAUUGAUCUUAAAAACCUAUUAUCAAUUUGGAGCUGUUGCAAAUUGGGUGUUUGUUUGUUACAUUUGAGAUUUCAGACUUGCUUAGAUCAAGUUCUUUUUCAAUUUUCUUUUCGGUUACUAACUAUGUGUUUUUCUCGUUGUCUUCUUGAUCCAGGUACACCUCUACUGUAUACGAACUCGAUCAACAGGCAAUCAGAACCUCCUUUUCAAUG